GUCAGAAAGCCGGAGGGGUGCUGGCCAGGCUGCAGCAAGGGAACAACUGGAGGGAAGGAAGAGACAGAGGCAGAGCAGAGGACAGGGAGGGCCCUGGUUUCCUUCUCGCGUGUGUUUACGCCCUGUGAUCAGCCUCCAGUGAGGAACUGUGAGCGAAAGCAGCUGGAGCCCUGCAGAGGGAGGCAAGGGCACUGCCCGGAUGAGAGCGGCUGGCUUCUGAGGCCCUGCGAGUCCUCCAGCUCACACAGCUCUGCAGUGGAGCCCCAGGAGCUCAGCUACAGAAUCCGGAAACCUGAAGCCCCACAGUUAGGAUGGCUGGCAGCGGGCAGGAGGUGGUGCUGCUGCUUCUCCCUCCUCCUGAGGACUGGAGACCACAGAGCCCGAUGAUUUAAGGUGGGAAAACUGAUUUACAGGUGAGAGGCUGAGUCCCUUGCCCACUGUAACCCAGAAAAUGUCAGAGGGGCUUGACCGGCUGUCCGACUCUGGCCUGGGACUUGUGACUGUUAGGUACUCUGUCAUCCUCCUCCAAGGAGCCAGCCACACCUGAACCAAGCAGGCGAGUGACCAGGGGCCGCCGGGGGAGGUGGUGCACUUGAUGUUGUCAUAAAAACCCAAAGGAAAAGGAACUCCUGCUGAGCCGCGCACUGGCCUGAGCACCAUUGCUGUGUGCAGUCUUGUGUUGACGUGAGGAGCCAUGGGCUGCAAGGAAAAGGCAUGGGCUAGGGAGUGAGUGUCCUCAACAAAACAGAGGAUGGGAGACCCAGCCGUCAUUCCCCACGCAGAAACUAAGUGAGCAGCACCAACCUGGCCCCAGUUACCAUGUGGAAACGCUAGAAGCCAAGUGAGACUCUCCAGCAAAUCCACAGCAACCACUAGGAAAAGGAGGCUUGGAAUGACAACUUCCCAGGCUGCGCUCCCACCUCUGCAAGGUCAGAGAGAUGGGGUCCUUGCUCUGUUUCUUUUUCCACUGCAACCUGAAAUCCAUUCCUAUGAGAGUCUGGGGACUCCAGCAUGCUUCAGCCAAACAGGAAUGCAGCAUGGCAUCUCAGUGAUUAUUUAGGUUCACAAAUCCUUGUUUAUAUGGAUUUAUUUGGAAAAAUAAAGCCUUAAAAUA